rnacentral:rRNA from 1 species
GACGAACGCUGGCGGUGUGCUUAACAUAUGCAAGUCGAACGGUAAGGCCCUUCGGGGUACACGAGUGGCGAACGGGUGAGUAACACGUGGGUGAUCUGCCCUGCACUUCGGGAUAAGCCUGGGAAACUGGGUCUAAUACCGGAUAGGACCACUGCCUGCAUGGGUGGUGGUGGAAAGCUUUUGCGGUGUGGGAUGGGCCCGCGGCCUAUCAGCUUGUUGGUGGGGUGAUGGCCUACCAAGGCGACGAUCAGUAGCUGGUCUGAGAGGAUGAUCAGCCACACUGGAACUGAGACACGGUCCAGACUCCUACGGGAGGCAGCAGUGGGGAAUCUUGCGCAAUGGGGGCAACCCUGACGCAGCCAUACCGCGUGUGUGAUGACGGUCUUCGGAUUGUAAAGCACUUUCGGCGGGGACGACGAUGACGGUACCCGCAUAAGAAGUCACGGCUAACUUCGUGCCAGCCGCCGCAGUAA